rnacentral:lncRNA from 1 species
CCGGGAACCCCGAACAUCCCCUUUCUCUACUCUUUCCCUUUGGAGUCUAUAGAGGGAGAAGCAGAGCCUAAGGCUUCAUCAGUUUGAAUACUGGCUGGGGCUGGGCAAGUUAGUGGCUCAAAGUGUUGAAUCUGUCCCUAAAGCAGGGACAGAAAUGGAGGCUCAGGAGGUAGAGGUGGCAGUGGGCGUGCAGGAGAAGCUGUAGGUCAGGAGGUAGAGGUGGCAGUGGGCGUGCAGGAGAACUGUAGGUCAGAGUGGAGAGGUGGCAGUGGGCGUGCAGGAGAACUGUAGGUCGGGAGGUAGAGGUGGCAGUGGGCGUGCAGGAGAAGCUGUAGGUCGGGAGGUAGAGGUGGCAGUGGGCGUGCAGGAGAAGCUGUAGGUCGGAGAGGGUGCAGAGUGGAGAACAGAUGAGCUGGAGUCACACCAUGCCCUAUACCCAGCCAGAGGCCGAAGUGAGCCUGUCACGGUAAUGCCACUGCCUGCUUGAUUCCCUCCCAUGCCUAGCCUGGGUUCUUCAUGAUCCCUGAGGCCCUCUUUGAUGUCAUCCCGCUGCCUCAAAACCUGUGUGUGCUGGUGGCUCCCUCUGCUUUCCUUCCAGAUGACUCCUUCGCUUCAGCUCAAAUGUCACCUUUGGCUGUUAAAAUCCUUUCCGGAGGAAGUUGUAAACAAUGCCUACCCCUCCUCCCGAGGUCUCUGAUUCCACUCCAGGGAAGAUUGCUCUGGGGGAGCCAAUGAGUUUGUUGGGAUUACUUCCAGAGCAUAGGUGAGGGGUUAGUUACUUGAAUAUGAGUGCUGCCCACCAAAAGACCGCACUGAAAAGUCUUUACCCAGCAGGGGUGAUGGU